CCCAUAGCUCAGUUGGUUAGAGCACCUGACUCAUAAUCAGGUGGUCCCAGGUUCGAGCCCUGGUGGG
rnacentral:tRNA from 1 species